rnacentral:snRNA from 1 species
AUACCUUUCUCGGCCUUUUGGCUAAGAUCAAGUGUAGUAUCUGUUCUUAUCAGUUUAAUAUCUGAUACGUGGGCCAUGUGCCCAUUUCGAUAUUAAAUUUAUUUUUUGUGGGGAGGGCCCGCCACAGUGGCUUGCCAUUGGGGCCCUCUCGCGUAGCCCAGGCGUUGCACUGCUGCCCGGGACUGCGCACCCCAA